rnacentral:rRNA from 1 species
AGAGUUUGAUCCUGGCUCAGGACGAACGCUGGCGGCGUGCUUAAUACAUGCAAGUCGAGCGAGGUUACUGUUUUGGAUCCCUUCGGGGUGAAGAAGCUUUAACCUAGCGGCGGACGGGUGAGUAACGCGUGGGUAACCUACCCCAAAGUCCGGGAUAACAGCGGGAAACCGCUGCUAAUACCGGAUGCCUUUACCUUGGGGCAUCUUGAGGUAAAGAAAGGUAACGCUUUGGGAUGGGCCCGCGUCCCAUUAGCUAGUUGGUGAGGUAACGGCUCACCAAGGCGACGAUGGGUAGCCGGCCUGGGAGGGUGGACGGCCACACUGGGACUGAGACACGGCCCAGACUCCUACGGGAGGCAGCAGUAGGGAAUAUUGCGCAAUGGACGGAAGUCUGACGCAGCGACGCCGCGUGAGCGAUGAAGGUCUUCGGAUCGUAAAGCUCUGUCCUUGGGGAAGAAGGUCUUCGGACUUGACGGUACCCAAGAAGAAAGCCCCGGCUAACUACGUGCCAGCAGCCGCGGUAAUACGUAGGGGGCGAGCGUUGUCCGGAAUUACUGGGCGUAAAGGGUGCGUAGGCGGCCCUUUAAGUCGGAUGUGAAAGCCCGCGGCUUAACCGCGGAAUGGCAUUCGAAACUGGAGGGCUUGAGUGUCGGAGAGGGUAGUGGAAUUCCCAGUGUAGCGGUGAAAUGCGUAGAUAUUGGGAGGAACACCAGUGGCGAAGGCGACUACCUGGACGAUAACUGACGCUGAGGCACGAAAGCUAGGGGAGCAAACAGGAUUAGAUACCCUGGUAGUCCUAGCCGUAAACGAUGGGUACUAGGUGUGGGUGGUUUCGAUACCAUCCGUGCCGUAGUUAACGCAUUAAGUACCCCGCCUGGGGAGUACGUGCGCAAGCAUGAAACUCAAAGGAAUUGACGG